rnacentral:rRNA from 1 species
UCAGUACCGUGAGGGAAAGGCGAAAAGAACCCCGGGAGGGGAGUGAAAUAGAUCCUGAAACCGCAUGCUUACAAAAAGUCGGAGCCCUUUGGGGUGACGGCGUACCUUUUGUAUAAUGGGUCAGCGACUUACAUUCAGUGGCGAGGUUAACCGAAUAGGGGAGCCGUAGAGAAAUCGAGUCCGAACAGGGCGACAGUCGCUGGGUGUAGACCCGAAACCAGGUGAUCUACCCAUGGCCAGGAUGAAGGUGCGGUAACACGCCCUGGAGGUCCGAACCCACUAAUGUUGAAAAAUUAGGGGAUGAGCUGUGGGUAGGGGUGAAAGGCUAAACAAA